GCGUUGUUCGGAAUCACUGGGCGUAAAGGGAGCGUAGGCGGCGCGGUAAGUCGGAUGUGAAAUCCCGGGGCUCAACCCCGGAACUGCAUCUGAUACUGCCGUGCUAGAGUAAUGGAGGGGUAGCUGGAAUUCUCGGUGUAGCAGUGAAAUGCGUAGAUAUCGAGAGGAACACUCGUGGCGAAAGCGAGCUACUGGACAUUUACUGACGCUGAGGCUCGAAGGCUAGGGGAGCGAAAGGGAUUAGAUACCCCUGUAGUCCUAGCAGUAAACGGUGCACGCUUGGUGUGAGGGGAUUCGACCCCCCUCGUGCCGGAGCUAACGCGUUAAGCGUGCCGCCUGGGAAGUACGGUCGCAAGACUAAAACUCAAAGAAAUUGACGGGGACCCGCACAAGCGGUGGAGUAUGUGGCUUAAUUCGAUGCAACGCGAAGAACCUUACCAAGGCUUGACAUGCAUCUCUAAUCGCGUGAAAGCGCGUGACCCUUCGGGGAAUUUGCACAGGUGCUGCAUGGCCGUCGUCAGCUCGUGUCGUGAGAUGUUGGGUUAAGUCCCGCAACGAGCGCAACCCUUGUGAUUAGUUGCCAGCACGUAAUGGUGGGGACUCUAGUCAGACUGCCCAGAUCAACUGGGAGGAAGGUGGGGACGACGUCAGGUCAGUAUGGCCCUUACGCCUUGGGCUGCACACG
rnacentral:rRNA from 1 species